GGGGAUGUGGCUCAAGCAGUAGAGCACUCACCUGGCAUGGGUGCGGCCUGGGUUCGAUCCUCAGCACCACA
rnacentral:tRNA from 1 species